rnacentral:rRNA from 1 species
UACGGGGGGGGCAAGCGUUGUUCGGAAUUACUGGGCGUAAAGGGCUCGUAGGCGGCCAACUAAGUCAGACGUGAAAUCCCCAGGCUCAACCUGGGAACUGCGUCUGAUACUGGAUGGCUUGAAUCCGGGAGAGGGAUGCAGAAUUCCAGGUGUAGCGGUGAAAUGCGUAGAUAUCUGGAGGAAUACCGGUGGCGAAGGUGGGUCUCUGGGCCGAUACUGACGCUGAGGAGCGAAAGCGUGGGGAGCGAACAGG